AUGGGAGGAGACCCAACCACGCACCAACUGACACCUACCACGGGCAAUGAAGAGGUGGCCUGCACCGCUCCUGGUGGCGUGGGUCCAAUAUCCGCAGUGGACCAGCUCGUUGCCGAGAUCACGAGCGACAUCAGCCCGCCGAUCCUGCAGCGGCCAGCGGAGGCAAGGCCCAGGGCGCCACGUAGGCGUCGCUCCCCCAUCUCCAACCCUCGCAGGAGUGGAAGGCUGGCCUCCAGGACGGCAUCCUCGCUCAGCGCGGUGGUCAAGGCCCAGCAGCUCAUCAUGCAACGCCUCGGCAUUGGUGCCGACGAAGACGAUGCCAUGCAGCGCUACGAGCUCUCCUUCGAGCGGCCGCUCACGCAGCUGCAGAUCGAGGUGCUGAUGGCGCUUGCGGCGGCUCCAGGGGUCAAGGCCACGGCGCUGAGAGGAGCAAGGAGCACCACUACUGCGACUGGAGAGAGGGUGGUGUCCUAA
rnacentral:rRNA from 1 species